rnacentral:tRNA from 3 species
GCCCAGGUGGUGGAAUUGGUAUACACACUAGGUUGAGGGCCUAGGCACUUCGGUGCGUGCGGGUUCAAGUCCCGCCCUGGGCA